rnacentral:lncRNA from 1 species
CUAGCGUAUGUUGUUUUUGGAUUAUGUACACGUGUUUGUAUUAUAAAUCAAAAGUGUCCGCUUACACUGUCUUACAUUUUGGAAACACCUCUUGUUAAGAAUGAUUACUAUCACGUGCAUUUUGUUCUUAAGAGUGUAAAGCACGUUAUAACUUUCUCACAUAGCAUCUGUUUAGCUUUAUACAAACAUUUUGUUAUAAUCACC